rnacentral:rRNA from 1 species
AUUCCAUUGUGUACAACCCUGAACAUGCCCGAACUCAUCUGAUCUCGGAAGCUAAGUGGGGUUGGGCUUGGUUAGUACUUGGAUGGGAGACCUCUGAAAAUUUUGGACAAUAGGAAUC